AUCUGAAUAGAGUGAACGCAACAGUCAUUUACCGCACGCAUUUAUGACCACUAUCGUUAGAUAACAUUAACAAAGAAAUCCACCUAUGCUUGUAAGAAGUCAUUAACAGUAAUAUUCUCCCUGGCCAUCGUAUAUCAGUACUAAAAUCUUGCAACUAUCGUGAAGAAAGCCAAAUUGGGGAGACACAUUGAUGAUGAAAAGACAAUACAUGCAAAUUAGUCAGUGUGGGAGUCGGCGUACUUAUAAGGAGUCGUGUUACAUCUGCUCUCGAGGAUUUCCCAAGAUCUGCCGACGACUCCAUCUAGCUUAUAAAAAGUCUGAAUCUUCUGUUCUGAUAAGACGACAAAAACAGACAAGCCAAGAUGAAACGAUUAUUGUUGGCCCUCCUUGUUCUUAUGAUGGUAUCCAUAGAUGUUCAAGGGUUUAAUCGGCAAUGCCUUACAGGGUGUCGAACCCAACAGAUGGAAUGCCAAGUUACCAUGAAUAAGUGUAACACUCCAGAGGAGUGCAACACAAACUGCCUGAUGCCCUCAUUACAGUGUGCAGAGGGUUGCCGCAGAAAGAGAGAAGUGCUAUCAAAGUUCUUCCGAGAUUACAAUGAAGAAAAGUAGAACUGUUCCACAUGAACCACAAUUAUGCGUUUGUUUCGUUUCUGUUUUUAAAGAAAUAAAUUACUGGUGUAAAUCUUCCCUCUUAGUUUGUUUGUGUAAUGUACCCGCAUUAUGUUGCUGCAAUUGAUAAAAGCAUGCAACCUUAGAAUUUUACUGUUUUAUGCGAAUAAAUGUUGAGUUUGUUAUUACCUCAAUACCGAUUUCUCGAAUUCUCUAUUAAUACUUUAGAUAAUUGUAUCAAGUAUUAUUAACGUUCGAAAUAUAACUAAAAUCUCCAGUUAAAAGUCCGCGGACGAUUAUCUCGGACAAAUGUCGCCUGACAUUCAAUAAAUGAUGAGCUUGUCUA